rnacentral:rRNA from 1 species
GACGAACGCUGGCGGCGUGCCUAAUACAUGCAAGUAGAACGCACAGUUUAUACCGUAGCUUGCUACACCAUAAACUGUGAGUUGCGAACGGGUGAGUAACGCGUAGGUAUCCUGCCUGGUAGCGGGGGAUAACUAUUGGAAACGAUAGCUAAUACCGCAUAAUAUUGAUUAUUGCAUGGUAAUUGAUUGAAAGAUGCUAUUGCAUCCCUACCAGAUGGACCUGCGUUGUAUUAGCUAGUAGGUGAGGUAACGGCUCACCUAGGCGACGAUACAUAGCCGACCUGAGAGGGUGAUCGGCCACACUGGGACUGAGACACGGCCCAGACUCCUACGGGAGGCAGCAGUAGGGAAUCUUCGGCAAUGGACGAAAGUCUGACCGAGCAACGCCGCGUGAGUGAAGAAGGUUUUCGGAUCGUAAAGCUCUGUUGUAAGAGAAGAACGGGUGUGAGAGUGGAAAGUGCACACUGUGACGGUAUCUUACCAGAAAGGGACGGCUAACUACGU